rnacentral:rRNA from 1 species
AGCGGCGGACGGGUGAGUAACACGUGGGCAACCUGCCUAUAAGACUGGGAUAACUUCGGGAAACCGGAGCUAAUACCGGAUAAUUCUUUUCUACACAUGUAGGAAAGCUGAAAGGCGGCUUCGGCUGUCACUUAUAGAUGGGCCCGCGUCGCAUUAGCUAGUUGGUGAGGUAACGGCUCACCAAGGCAACGAUGCGUAGCCGACCUGAGAGGGUGAUCGGCCACACUGGGACUGAGACACGGCCCAG